UGAAUACGAGACGCUAAGGCGUCGAAGUAGUGUAUGUCAUACUUCCAAGAAAAGCUUGCACUGUCAUAAGUAAAAAAUGCCUGUACCAUAACCGACACAGGUGGGUAGGUAGAGUAUACUAAGGGGCGCGAGAUAACUCUCUCUAAGGAACUCGGCAAAAUAACUCCGUAACUUCGGGAGAAGGAGUACCUUAUUCUAUAAGGUUGCAAUAACAAGAUCCAAGCAACUGUUUAUCAAAAACACAGGUCUCCGCUAAGUCGUAAGACGAUGUAUGGGGGCUGACGCCUGCCCAGUGCCAGAAGGUUAAAGAAGUCGGUUAGCAUUAGCGAAGCUGGUAACUGAAGCCCUGGUGAACGGCGGCCGUAACAAUAACGGUCCUAAGGUAGCGAAAUUCCUUGUCGGGUAAGUUCCGACCCGCACGAAAGGCGUAAUGAUUUGGAUACUGUCUCGGAGAGGGGCUCGGUGAAAUAGACUUGUCUGUGAAGAUGCGGACUACCUGCACCAGGACAGAAAGACCCUAUGAAGCUUUACUGUAACUUGAAAUUGAAAUUGGACUUUAUUCGCGCAGUAUAGGUGGGAGGUGUUGAUUAUAAUCUUGCGGGAUUAUUGGAGCCAUCAGUGAGAUACCACUCUUGUAAUGUUAGAUUUCUAACUUUGAAUCAUUAUCUGGUCAAAGGACAGUUUCAGGCGGGCAGUUUGACUGGGGCAGUCGCCUCCCAAACGGUAACGGAGGCGUACAAAGGUUUCCUCUGUACGGGUAGAAAUCGUAUCUAGAGUGUAAAGGCAUAAGGAAGCUUGACUGUGAGACCUACAAGUCGAACAGGGACGAAAGUCGGUCUUAGUGAUCUGACGGUACUGAGUGGAAAGGCCGUCACUCAACGGAUAAAAGUUACUCUAAGGAUAACAGGCUGAUCUCCCCCAAGAGUUCACAUCGACGGGGAGGUUUGGCACCUCGAUGUCGGCUCAUCGCAUCCUGGGGCGGUAGUACGUCCCAAGGGUUGGGCUGUUCGCCCAUGAAAGCGGUACGCGAGCUGGGUUCAGAACGUCGUGAGACAGUUCGGUCCAUAUCCGGUGUAGGCGUUAGAAUAUUGAGAGGAGCCUUCUUUAGUACGAGAGGACCGAGAAGGACAUACCUCUGGUGUACCAGUUAUCGUGCCAACGGUAAACGCUGGGUAGCUAUGUAUGGAGUGGAUAACCGCUGAAAGCAUCUAAGUGGGAAGCCCACCUCAAGAUAAG
rnacentral:rRNA from 1 species